UGUGGGGUAAAUGAUCCGAUGAGUAUAAACAAAGUUCUCUGCAGCCUCCCUUUCAAGAUUUAACCGUUCUCAUUAUCCUCACACCUUCUAUGGGUCAUCUCGAUUAUCACUUCAAAAGUUUUUUUUCUCCUGCUGAUGAUAGCUCAUCUCAAUUGAUUGGCUUCUUACAGUUGGUAUGGCUACUUCCUCCUUUUCAUGUUUUCCGUAUGUAUAAAUAUCUUCUUGCUGUAUGUUCCAGCCUAUGCAUCCAAUGAAGUGGACUGUAGCCCAUGCAAGCUUAUGCUCAAAUAAAUUUGUUAGUCUCCAAGGUGCCACAAGUACUCCUGUUCUUUAUGCGACUGCUAGUAGUAACACGGCUGCUACUCUGAAACAUCUUACAAUGGUUUGUGUCACAACUAAUAUUUAACUUCUGGAGUACAUAUUUCAUAGCCAUUGCUUCUACAUUUUUUUUGUGGAGCAGCUGCAAUUGUUAUGUAAAGAUGUAGAGUAUGGCUGCAGAAAACAAGUCAUCUCUAUUUUGCAAGGCAGGUUUCUUGACUGCAGGAUGCUGUAGGCUUCAGUUAAUGCUAGGCUCUGGUGGCUGUUGUGAGCUACAUAAUGUUUAAAUAAAAAAAUAAUUUUGUUAUUUAAAUACAAGCUCAUCAGAUUUUACUGUGAAGAACACAGUUGCAGGAGUGGAUGGAUUUCAGAGUAACCAUGAAGUUAUUCCAGGCACCUGUACUGGAUGGCUAAAACCCACACGAAUGGACAGCCUGAAACCACCACCGCCAGAAUUACAGUUGAGGGCAAUAUGGGGGAAUGUAAACGUUGCAGAUGUUCUUAUAUUUGGUUGCAGAGGCUGCAGACAAAAUGAGUAGUGGUAUGAAAAUGGUUCUGUUAACUGUAGUAAAUGUAUAGGCCCUAGAUAUUUGUAAUAACUUUCAAUUCUCAUCUGUCCUGUUUUUGAUGGGGACCUACCAUAUUUUGAAGAUUGCUGCCUACCUUGAAAAAAUGAAAUCUAUUAAUAUGGGUUGGGUGAAACCUUU